rnacentral:lncRNA from 1 species
CCAAUUAACUGAUUUCUUUCAAUUUAAUUCCCUUAAUUUCUUGAUUUGAAAAGAUAACAUGAAGUGUUUCUACUGCACAUUCAUGUGCACAUUUUAAAACUAUUAGAGUUUCCUCCUAAGUUAAAAGGUUUUCUCAGUGUUUUCAGCUUUUUUCCAGUUGUUUGAACACAACUCAUUAAAAAGAGGGCAGCAUUCCAUAUUUCAGUGACUCCUUGGGGAUAUAUACAGAUAGCAUUUCUUUGGUAUUGUUAUAAGCCAAAGGCCUGUUGAAGGACCUGUAAUGAAGAAUAUUCAUGCUCACAGAGGCUGUUGAUGUCACUGACUGGCACGCAAAGUGGUGUAAAGAAACUGUAUAAAAGGCGGCUCCCUGCUGAAAGAGGCACCAGUCAAGAGAAGUGGUACCAUGUCUUUCUCACUUGUAACCCUCCUCACCUUCCUGGUUGCCUGUUGGUGUUCAGGAUGUCAAGGACAAAUGAUGAGCAUGGCUCCUAUGGGUAGCAACCUGAUGCUGUCCUGCCCUCGAGGACAGGAGAUCAACAUCGUGUCAAUGGUUUACAGCAACAAGGGGUUUGAGAAUAAUGCUCAGGACUUCUGCAGCAGCAUUGCACCUCCAAGCUGUUUACAUCCCAUGUUAAUGCCGUUGUCAAAGUCUAUCUGUGAUGACCUGCAGGAGUGCAGGUUAGCUAAAUCACAAAAAAGAAUGUUGAUCUGCGAUCUCGACACCUUCACCGCCGUUUCAGCCUUCUACACUUGUGAGAACAAGUUUCCAGAUAAACGUACUGUCAUUGCCUGCAAGGAUCAGAGUGCCGACUUAAAGUGUGAAAAGGGUGUUAUUCGCAUCAUCAAGUCCAAUUACGGACGCCUCGACCAGAACACCUGCACAGACAAGCCUUCUGAUUACACCUUUUGUACAGCUGGAGGCUUUGGAGAAGAUGUGAAAAGCAUGUGCAACGGUAGAAAAGAGUGUUCAAUUCCAGGCAAUCCUAAAGGGAGGAUAGUGUUUUCAUACUGUGAUCAAUCCCCCAAGUAUGUGUACGUGUCCUACGUCUGUGAAGCAUAGGAUAAGUACACAAUGAACACCAACAGUUGGUGUACAGGUGACCUGAAGAUGGAGGAUUUCUCCUGCAUCUGAAAGAGGAACUUUGUUCCGAAUCUAAAAAGUAAAAAACCCAAUUAAUAAAAGAGAGGAACUAUCAUCUGGGC